CGGCAAGAGCUCAAAUUUGAAAUCUGGCCUCUUUGGGGUCCGAGUUGUAAUUUGGAGAGGAUGCUUCGGGUUCAGCCCCCAUCUAAGUGCCCUGGAACGGGCCGUCAUAGAGGGUGAGAAUCCCGUCUGGGAUGGGUGGUUGUGCCCAUGUGAAGCUCCUUC
rnacentral:rRNA from 1 species